AAUUAAUGAUAAUUAUGUGCUACUGACUAAGUAGCUUUCGCCAAGUAGUCAGUUAUAAAUUGACGGUGUUAACUUUAGGCUACAAUAUCAGUUAGUUAACGAUGGCUUGCACUUAACUCACCAUUUUUGAUGCACAAACUUUCCAACGUAUUUUUGCUUCACUUCCAAAGCGCCAAAGCAAAGCCGGAAGACUAUGAAGGAGCACAUUACUCCUUUUUUAUUAUUGUAUGGGAAUGUAACAUGAUAGCAUAGCAACAGUUUAUGAUUUGAUGAAUAAAUAAUUGGCCGUACAUUGAUUCACUUUCGCCAAGGUAGCUUUGAAUCUAAAAAUUAUGGUGUCACAUUACGAGUUUUUGAGCCGAAUACAUUUUAGACAGUGCUCCCAAGAAAACCAUAAGAUCAACAGGUGGUUGAUGAAAGAAGGCCUACUUUCAAAAUCAAUGAAAUACCCCUCUUGUCGUCAUGCAAUGAAGUUGAAGUUGCCCUACGGCAAAAGGCAGGGAGCAUGGAUAUGCCGAGAUUCAUUUUCCAUAAAGGAAAAUCAGUCUCUAGGUCCAUCCGAACUGGCUCCAUGUUUGAGAAUUCUCAUGUUCAACUACAAACGUGGAUGCAUUUCAUCUACAGAUUUGCCCAAGGCCUUCGAUUGCGACAAGUGGACAUGCUGCAAGAAGGGAUUACUCGAAGCUCUGCAACUCUGAGUA